CUUUACCGGAUAUUGCGUGUGCGUGCGCAUUUUCAUGACACGAAGUCAGUUUGUAAAGAAUCUACACGUUUGAAACGUUUUUAGACUUAAAGAAAAAGAACCAUAACUGGUUUCUAAAAAUAGUGAUGUCAGUUACAAAGUAAAACAGGAACGACAACAGUUUAAAGUUUUUAUAAAUAGAUUUUUAUAUUUAUAUUUUAUUUAUCUACUGUUUAUUCAGGUACUGAACAGGAACGAUAACAAUGAACGUUUAUAAAUAGAUUUUAUACAUUUAAUCACCUGUUUAUUUAUGU